CAGUCGCCGCGGGAAUACAGAGGGUGCGAGCGUUAAUCGGAUUUACUGGGCGUAAAGCGUGCGUAGGCGGCUAAUUGAGUCGGAUGUGAAAUCCCCGAGCUUAACUUGGGAAUUGCAUUCGAUACUGGUUAGCUAGAGUGUGGGAGAGGAUGGUAGAAUUCCAGGUGUAGCGGUGAAAUGCGUAGAGAUCUAGAGGAAUACCGAUGGCGAAGGCAGCCAUCUGGCCUAACACUGACGCUGAGGUACGAAAGCAUGGGGAGCAAACAGGAUUAGAUACCCGGGUAGUCCCUGUCUCUUAUAC
rnacentral:rRNA from 1 species